CACCACGUCCGGCUAAUUUUUUUCUAUUUUUAGUAGAGAUGGGGUUUCACUGUUUUGGCCACGCUGGUCUCGAACUCCUGACCUCGUGAUCCGCCCGCUUCGGCCUUCCAAAGUGCUGGGAUUACAAGCGUGAGCCACCGCGCCCGGCUUAUCCUGCUUUUGGUUUCAGGUCUCCAUGCCAGUGAAAUGUCACCUCAACUCCACCGUUCCUGGUGUCAGGCAAGCCCGAGGUACCCAAUUCUGCCUUUCUUCUGGAUUUUCCUAACCUGUGAAGAGUCUUGAAAGUCCUUAAACCACGGGAGACUACCUGGCACAUGACACGGGAUGAGACUUGGUGGGGGUCCCACGGAGGACAGGUCGUUCCAGCGGUUCCUCCGCACCCAGCGCUGCACGGGCCCGGGGCGCGGGAAAUCAGCCUCCCGAAAGCCACGUGAGUCACGGUCCUGCCUGCGAAGAACUCCCAGGGCGACCUUGGGGCUGAGGAGUGGGCCUGCUUCGGCCUUCUGCUUUUCUGUUGCGUGGUGACCCUCACCAGAGGACAGCUUCAUGCUCUUGGACUUCCCAGCCUCAAGAACUGUAAGAAAUGAAUUUCUUUAUAAGUUGCCCAGUCUGUGGUAUUUGGUUAUAGCA
rnacentral:sRNA from 1 species